UACGUAGGGUGCGAGCGUUAAUCGGAAUUACUGGGCGUAAAGCGUGCGCAGGCGGUUCGUUGUGUCGGCGGUGAAAGCCCCGGGCUCAACCUGGGAAUGGCCGUUGAAACUGGCGAACUGGAGUGUGGCAGAGGGGGGUGGAAUUCCGCGUGUAGCAGUGAAAUGCGUAGAGAUGCGGAGGGACACCGAUGGCGAAGGCAGCCCCCUGGGCUAACACUGACGCUCAGGCACGAAAGCGUGGGGAGCAAACAGG
rnacentral:rRNA from 1 species